rnacentral:rRNA from 1 species
GCCGGCAGCUAGCUCUCGGCAACUCUCACAUGGUUGCCCACUAAAGCUAAGCAGGGUAGCACCUGGUCAGUACCUGGAUGGGAGACCACAUGGGAAAGCUAGGCUGCUGCCGGAA